rnacentral:misc_RNA from 1 species
GAUGAAGAACGUAGCGAAAUGCGAUACGUAGUGUGAAUUGCAGAAUUCAGUGAAUCAUCGAAUCUUUGAACGCACAUUGCACCUCUCGGUAUUCCGGGAGGUAUGCCUGUUCGAGCGUCAUUUGUACCCUCAAGCUCUGCUUGGUGUUGGGUGUUUGUUCCGCCUCUGUGUGUGAACUCGCCUCAAAACAAUUGGCAGCCGGCGUACUUGUUUCGGAGCGCAGCACAUUAUGCGAUCCAGAUCAACGUACAGCGGCAUCCAAGAAGCCUUAUUUAACGCUCUUGACCUCGGAUCAGGUAGGGAUACCCGCUGAACUUAAGCAUAUCAAUAAGCGGAGGA